UCAUUAUAUCAGUUAUGGUUCCUUAGAUCGUUAACAGUUACUUGGAUAACUGUGGUAAUUCUAGAGCUAAUACAUGCAAUUAAAACACGGACCUUUUGGAACGUGUGCUUUUAUUAGGCUAAAACCAAGCGAUCGCUAGAUCGUUACAUUGGUUGAACUCUAGAUAACAUGCAGAUCGUAUGGUCUUGUACCGACGACAGAUCUUUCAAAUGUCUGCCCUAUCAACUUUUGAUGGUAGUAUCUAGGACUACCAUGGUUGCAACGGGUAACGGGGAAUCAGGGUUCGAUUCCGGAGAGGGAGCCUGAGAAACGGCUACCACAUCUAAGGAAGGCAGCAGGCGCGUAAAUUACCCACUCCCAGCUCGGGGAGGUAGUGACGAAAAAUAACAAUACAGGACUCAUAUCCGAGGCCCUGUAAUUGGAAUGAGUACACUUUAAAUCCUUUAACAAGGACCUAUUGGAGGGCAAGUCUGGUGCCAGCAGCCGCGGUAAUUCCAGCUCCAAAAGCGUAUAUUAAAGUUGUUGCGGUUAAAACGUUCGUAGUUGAACUUGUGCUUCAUACGGGUAGUACAACUUACAAUUGUGGUUAGUACUAUACCUUUAUGUAUGUAAGCGUAUUACCGGUGGAGUUCUUAUAUUUAAUUAAGUACUUGUACUUUUUUACGUAUUCCUCCUAUUUAAAAACCUGCAUUAGUGCUCUUCAUCGAGUGUUAUUGUGGGCCGGUACAAUUACUUUGAACAAAUUA
rnacentral:rRNA from 1 species